rnacentral:rRNA from 1 species
AGCGAACGCUGGCGGCAGGCUUAACACAUGCAAGUCGAGCGGUCACUUUCGGGUGUCAGCGGCUGACGGGUGAGUAACGCGUGGGAACGUGCCCUCUGGUUCGGAAUAACUCAGGGAAACUUGAGCUAAUACCGGAUACGCCCUUUUGGGGAAAGGCUUGCUGCCGGAGGAUCGGCCCGCGUCUGAUUAGCUAGUUGGUGAGGUAACGGCUCACCAAGGCGACGAUCAGUAGCUGGUCUGAGAGGAUGAUCAGACACACUGGGACUGAGACACGGCCCAGACUCCUACGGGAGGCAGCAGUGGGGAAUAUUGGACAAUGGGCGCAAGCCUGAUCCAGCCAUGCCGCGUGAGUGAUGAAGGCCUUAGGGUUGUAAAGCUCUUUUAUCCGGGACGAUAAUGACGGUACCGGAGGAAUAAGCCCCGGCUAACUUCGUG